UGCUUCUGGGUCGGGGUUUCGUACG
rnacentral:piRNA from 7 species